AGCUGGGCACGGUCCUGCUUUGAGCCCGGGGUUGGGCUAUUCGGGCCGGACCGAGCCUCGCGCCCGCGAGUCGCAGCCGCGAAGUGUCCGCAGCUCCCAUUUUUCUCCAGUGAGAAAGAAACGAGAAGCUCGACCACUAAGUUGGGGGGGUGCAGGAUUCAGCUCAAGACUGAAGCGAAACGAGUUAAAAACCUGCCUAGGAGCUUCCCUGUGGGGCAGGAGCAAAGGCUGGUGGACCAGGAAAUCCUGAACAAGAAGAGAGGGGCCUGCCUUACCAUCCGGUGAAUGAAGAGCUUAAAAGGGAUCAGAUAUAGGUGGUCGCGGUGCAGGCAGGAAAAACUUUCUUGAGUUGCAGUUACAGACAAACACAAGCGGAGUUUGCUAGGCUCCACCGAAGACACACACACGGAGUUUGCUAGGCUCCGCAAAACAAACACGACAGAGCUCUGGAUACCCUUGACGAGCACGCAGAAACCGUACAUGCGUCUUAAGAAGAAUUUAACGAACGAGACGGGAAGAGGUUGGUGGUUGAUCAGGCCACCGAACUCCUCUGAGAUACACACAAAGUUUCUAUUACUCUGCCGUGUGCUCAGAGUCCCCACGAGAUGGUUGUGGAGUCCUCUACAAUUUGGGCGGAAACCGCCCAAACCUCUUACACGACUAGCAAGCCAAUCGCUAGCCGCCACAUGGGAAUAAUUUAGAAACAGCCAAUAGUGGGGUACGAAUUUACAAACGGGUGGCGGGAACUCCUUUGCACCGGGGUUUUCUCUCUGCAGCUGAGAAUUGCACCGUGCAAAGAAAGCUCCAUGUGGCGGGAAAAAAUUCUGCAGUGCCGAAGCGUGCACACAAUCAUUGGGUCAUGACAUCUACAUUUUGUUUUGCUUAUGUUGUCCCUGUGUUAGCUGCUUCUGUGUUCAUAUUGCUUGUAGCUCAUGGUGUUCGCUUGUAGCUCAGGGAUGAUGUGUGGCAGCUUUCAGUGCUUACCCUGGCCUUACCUGAUGAUUGGGGACCUUACAAGAUAUCUGCAAGUUCUUGAUGCCGAGCCACCAUGGCUAUUUUUGCAUAUAUAUACCUUACAGCUACAAAUUUUGCUAUCAUGCUGCUAAUAACAAUAAAAGCUCAAACAAUUAGAAUAAAAACAAUAGACUGUAAAAUCACAUUGAAUACUCUUGUGGCAGAUGGGAACCAUCCAAGUAACAAUUUCCACCAAUGGUGUGUUGCUGCUCAUUUAACGUUUUUAACACCUCGGUAAUCUCACAGUUGUUAUAUCAAAUUGAUAUUAGAAUUUGUUCACCUUGUUGCUCUCUGUUUUGUUAAUUGAGCUAACUCAGAGUGUUUCAUUAGUUGUUUUAUAUUCAUUCCUAAUUUGACUGGCACAAUAUCAGUAUAUAGUGUGAGAUUAUGAAUUAAGAAUUGUGCAGUGAGUACUGGUGUUUUGAACACAAAGUCAUAUCUACAUAUGCUAGUAACAUUAUAACUACACAUAUAACCACUAUUAUCUAUGGUUUGAUUAUAUGCUUUAUUAUUAAUAACAACAAAGGGCACAGACAUCUUUGCCCAACAUACACCACAAUAGACUUGUCAUGCUGCUGUGAUGGUGUCAACACAAAAUCACAUAUGCAGUGUCUUACGUCCAAACAUGCACAUGUGGGGUCUAGGGUAUGAUUUUCCCAAAUUAACUCAGUUGUGGGGUUGCAUACCUGUAGGUAUGUCCCCUGCUACCAACCACUAGGGCAUUCACAUUUCUUGGCCUGUCAUUACCUUGUGAGGUACGAUUCCAUGGGCAGCCAUGAACACACUUCCCACUUUGAACUUUAUUUCUCACAUUGACUGCUGCAUAACCUGUAACAGGCUUUCCCUUUUUGUAAUAGCUGAAUCCAUCAAUAAACAAUAUACACCUGGA